UCUUCGAUAGCUCAGUGGUAGAGCAAUCGGCUGUUAACCGAUUGGUCGUAGGUUCGAAUCCUACUCGGAGAG
rnacentral:tRNA from 2 species